UCGGGAAUUUUGUGCAAUGGGCGAAAGCCUGACACAGCAACGCCGCGUGAAGGAUGAAGUCCCUCGGGAUGUAAACUUCGUAAGAAUAGGAAGAAUAAAUGACGGUACUAUUUGUAAGGUCCGGCUAACUACGUGCCAGCAGCCGCGGUAAUACGUAGGGACCAAGCGUUGUUCGGAUUUACUGGGCGUAAAGGGCGCGUAGGCGGCGUGGUAAGUCACUUGUGAAAUCUCCGAGCUUAACUCGGAACGGUCAAGUGAUACUGCUGUGCUAGAGUACAGAAGGGGCAAUCGGAAUUCUUGGUGUAGCGGUGAAAUGCGUAGAUAUCAAGAGGAACACCUGAGGUGAAGACGGGUUGCUGGGCUGAUACUGACGCUGAGGCGCGAAAGCUAGGGUAGCAAACGGGAUUAGAUACCCACGUAGUCCCCUGAGCGGGCUGGCAAGGCGCAU
rnacentral:rRNA from 1 species